UACGAAGGGGGCUAGCGUUGCUCGGAAUUACUGGGCGUAAAGGGCACGUAGGCGGAUUGUUAAGUCAGGGGUGAAAUCCUGGAGCUCAACUCCAGAACUGCCUUUGAUACUGGCGAUCUCGAGUCCGGGAGAGGUGAGUGGAACUGCGAGUGUAGAGGUGAAAUUCGUAGAUAUUCGCAAGAACACCGGUGGCGAAGGCGGCUCACUGGCCCGGUACUGACGCUGAGGUGCGAAAGCGUGGGGAGCAAACAGG
rnacentral:rRNA from 1 species